rnacentral:rRNA from 1 species
UACGAAGGGGGCUAGCGUUGUUCGGAAUCACUGGGCGUAAAGCGCACGUAGGCGGACUCUUAAGUCAGAGGUGAAAGCCCAGGGCUCAACCCUGGAAUUGCCUUUGAUACUGGGAGUCUUGAGUGUGGUAGAGGUUGGUGGAACUGCGAGUGUAGAGGUGAAAUUCGUAGAUAUUCGCAAGAACACCAGUGGCGAAGGCGGCCAACUGGACCAUAACUGACGCUGAGGUGCGAAAGCGUGGGGAGCAAACAGG